rnacentral:tRNA from 7 species
GGAGUAGUAUCGAAGUGGUCAUAACGAGCACGACUGGAAAUCGUGUAGCCGCUAACACGGCUCGAGGGUUCGAAUCCCUCCUACUCCGCCA